rnacentral:rRNA from 1 species
GACGAACGCUGGCGGCGUGCUUAACACAUGCAAGUCGAACGGAAAGGCCCUGCUUUUGUGGGGUGCUCGAGUGGCGAACGGGUGAGUAACAAGUGAGUAACCUGCCCUUGACUUUGGGAUAACUUCAGGAAACUGGGGCUAAUACCUGAUAGGAGCUCCUGCUGCAUGGUGUGGGUUGGAAAGUUUCGGCGGUUGGGGAUGGACUCGCGGCUUAUCAGCUUGGUGGUGGGGUAGUGGCUUACCAAGGCUUUGACGGGUAGCCGGCCUGAGAGGGUGACCGGCCACAUUGGGACUGAGGUACGGCCCAGACUCCUACGGGCGGCAGCAGUGGGGAAUAUUGCACGAUGGGCGGAAGCCUGAUGCAGCAACGCCGGGUGCGGGAUGACGGCCUUCGGGUUGUAAACCGCUUUCGCCGGUGACGGAGCGUGAGUGACGGUAAUGGGUAAAGAAGCACCGGCUAACUACGUG